GCCGGAAUAGCUCAGUUGGUAGAGCA
rnacentral:tRNA from 10 species